GAUGAACGCUGGCGGCGUGCCUAAUACAUGCAAGUCGAGCGAACAGAUGAGGAGCUUGCUCCUCUGACGUUAGCGGCGGACGGGUGAGUAACACGUGGAUAACCUACCUAUAAGACUGGGAUAACUUCGGGAAACCGGAGCUAAUACCGGAUAAUAUAUUGAACCGCAUGGUUCAAUAGUGAAAGACGGUUUUGCUGUCACUUAUAGAUGGAUCCGCGCCGCAUUAGCUAGUUGGUAAGGUAACGGCUUACCAAGGCAACGAUGCGUAGACGACCUGAGAGGGUGAUCGGCCACACUGGAACUGUGACACGGUCCAGACUCCUACGGGAGGCAGCAGUAGGGAAUCUUCCGCAAUGGGCGAAAGCCUGACGGAGCAACGCCGCGUGAGUGAUGAAGGUCUUCGGAUCGUAAAACUCUGUUAUUAGGGAAGAACAAAUGUGUAAGUAACUAUGCACGUCUUGACGGUACCUAAUCAGAAAGCCACGGCUAACUACGUG
rnacentral:rRNA from 1 species